AGUGAACGCUGGCGGUAGGCCUAACACAUGCAAGUCGAACGGCAGCACAGUAAGAGCUUGCUCUUACGGGUGGCGAGUGGCGGACGGGUGGGGAAUACAUCGGAAUCUACUUUUUCGUGGGGGAUAACGUAGGGAAACUUACGCUAAUACCGCAUACGACCUACGGGUGAAAGCAGGGGAUCUUCGGACCUUGCGCGAUUGAAUGAGCCGAUGUCGGAUUAGCUAGUUGGCGGGGUAAAGGCCCACCAAGGCGACGAUCCGUAGCUGGUCUGAGAGGAUGAUCAGCCACACUGGAACUGAGACACGGUCCAGACUCCUACGGGAGGCAGCAGUGGGGAAUAUUGGACAAUGGGCGCAAGCCUGAUCCAGCCAUACCGCGUGGGUGAAGAAGGCCUUCGGGUUGUAAAGCCCUUUUGUUGGGAGAGAAAAGCAGCAGGUUAAUACCCCGCUGUUCUGACGGUACCCAAAGAAUAAGCACCGGCUAACUUCGUG
rnacentral:rRNA from 1 species